rnacentral:rRNA from 1 species
AUUGAACGCUGGCGGUAUGCUUAACACAUGCAAGUCAAACGAUGAGAAAGAGCUUGCUCUUUCGAUUAGUGGCGGACGGGUGCGUAACGCGUAGGAAUCUACCUAUUAGUGGGGGACAACUUAGGGAAACUUAAGCUAAUACCGCAUACGCCCUACGGGGGAAAGAAGGGGAUCGCAAGACCUUUUGCUAAUAGAUGAGCCUGCGUAGGAUUAGCUAGUUGGUGGGGUAAAAGCUCACCAAGGCGACGAUCCUUAAGUGGUUUGAGAGAAUGAUCAGUCACACUGGAACUGAGACACGGUCCAGACUCCUGCGGGAGGAAGCAGUGGGGACUAUUGGACAAUGGGCGAAAGCCUGAUCCAGCAAUACCGCGUGUGUGAAGAAGGCCUUAGGGUUGUAAAGCACUUUCAAUUGGAAGGAAAACCUCGAAGCUAAUACCUUCGAGUUUGACAUUACCUUUAGAAGAAGCACCGGCUAACUCCGUGCCAGCCGCCGCAGUAA